CGUGUCGUGAGAUGUUGGGUUAAGUCCCGCAACGAGCGCAACCGUUGUCCCUAGUUGCUACGCAAGGGCACUCUAGGGAGACUGCCGGUGACAAACCGGAGGAAGGUGGGGAUGACGUCAAGUCCUCAUGGCCCUUAUGGGUAGGGCUUCACACGUCAUACAAUGGUCGGAACAGAGGGUCGCCAACCCGCGAGGGGGAGCCAAUCCCAGAAAACCGAUCGUAGUCCGGAUCGCACUCUGCAACUCGAGUGCGUGAAGCUGGAAUCGCUAGUAAUCGCGGAUCAGCAUGCCGCGGUGAAUACGUUCCCGGGUCUU
rnacentral:rRNA from 1 species